rnacentral:rRNA from 1 species
UACGGAGGGUGCAAGCGUUGCUCGGAAUUAUUGGGCGUAAAGCGCACGCAGGCGGCGUGGCUAGUCAGUUGUGAAACUCCCGGGCUUAACUUGGGAACUGCAGCUGAUACUGCCAUGCUUGAGUACGGAAGAGGGGAGUGGAAUUCCCAGUGUAGAGGUGAAAUUCGUAGAUAUCAGGAGGAACACCUGUGGCGAAAGCGGCUCACUGGACCACAACUGACGCUGAUGCACGAAAGCUAGGGGAGCAAACAGG